AGAUGCAGGAGAGGUGUAUGUUUGGGGAAGCAACAAGCAUGGGCAACUGGCUAAUGAGGCUGCUUUCCUUCCUGUGCCCCAGAAAAUAGAAGCACAUUGUUUCCAGAAUGAAAAGGUCACUGCCAUCUGGAGUGGAUGGACACACCUGGUUGCUCAGACAGAAACUGGCAAGAUGUUUACCUGGGGCCGAGCAGACUAUGGUCAGCUAGGGAGGAAGUUGGAGACUUAUGAAGGCUGGAAACUAGAAAAGCAAGAUUCAUUUCUCCCCUGUUCAAGACCACCGAACAGCAUGCCUUCGUCUCCGCAUUGCUUAACUGGAGCAACUGAGGUCUCUUGUGGCUCAGAGCAUAAUUUGGCAAUAAUUGUAUCUCUGCAAGGUAAGUAUUAUUAUCCCAGUUUUGCUGAUGUGGAAAUGGAGUUGCAGAGAAAUUAAGAGAUAUACUCAAGAUCACAGUGUUCAUGUGUCAUGGAGCCAUUUUUGAAUCCUGUGAGAGACUUCAGUGCUGAUGAUCGGAUGACCAGACCAUCAAACCAUGCUG
rnacentral:lncRNA from 10 species